rnacentral:rRNA from 1 species
CCCUUAGAUGCUCUGGGCCGCACGCGCGCUACACUGGUCGAUGCAACGAGUUUCUUUCCUUGGCCGACAGGCCUGGGCAAUCUUUGAACAUCGAUCGUGAUCGGGAUAGAUUCUUGUAAUUUUUGAUCUUAAACGAGGAAUGCCUAGUAGGCGCAAGUCAUCAGCUUGCGUCGAUUACGUCCCUGCCCUUUGUACACACCGCCCGUCGCUCCUACCGAUUGGGUGUGCUGGUGAAAUGUUCGGAUCGGCCGUUUGUCGCGGUUUCCGCGUCAUGUGGCUGAGAAGUUCAUUAAACCCUCCCACCUAGAGGAAGGAGAAGUCGUAACA